AUUGAACGCUGGCGGCAUGCCUUACACAUGCAAGUCGAACGGCAGCAUGAUCUAGCUUGCUAGAUUGAUGGCGAGUGGCGAACGGGUGAGUAAUACAUCGGAACGUGCCCUGUAGUGGGGGAUAACUAGUCGAAAGAUUAGCUAAUACCGCAUACGACCUGAGGGUGAAAGUGGGGGACCGCAAGGCCUCAUGCUAUAGGAGCGGCCGAUGUCUGAUUAGCUAGUUGGUGAGGUAAAGGCUCACCAAGGCGACGAUCAGUAGCUGGUCUGAGAGGACGAUCAGGCACGCUGGGACUGAGACACGGCCCAGACUCCUACGGGAGGCAGCAGUGGGGAAUUUUGGACAAUGGGGGCAACCCUGAUCCAGCAAUGCCGCGUGUGUGAAGAAGGCCUUCGGGUUGUAAAGCACUUUUGUCCAGAAAGAAAUCGCACUUACUAAUAUUAGGUGUGGAUGACGGUACCGGAAGAAUAAGGACCGGCUAACUACGUGCCAGCCGCCGCCGUAACAC
rnacentral:rRNA from 1 species